UACGAAGGGGGCUAGCGUUGCUCGGAAUGACUGGGCGUAAAGGGCGCGUAGGCGGCUUGCACCGUCAGAUGUGAAAUUCCUGGGCUUAACCUGGGGGCUGCAUUUGAUACGUGUGGGCUUGAGUGCGGAAGAGGGUCGUGGAAUUCCCAGUGUAGAGGUGAAAUGCGCAGGAUAUCAGGAAGAACACCCGUGGCGAAGGCGGCUCUCUGGGACGGUACUGACGCUGAGACGCGAAAGCGUGGGGAGCGAACAGG
rnacentral:rRNA from 1 species